AAGGAGGGAUGGCCAUUUGACCAGAGGCCAAGAAACCUUGGCAGAGUUUUCUAGGAGCCGCCUGACAAAAACAAAUGUGGAUGGAGAGGGGAAACUUUCAUUUGUUAACUCAUAUCAUUUUUCUCAAAAAGUGAUGAGAUUGUGAGUGAAUUUUAUGCAUUAGAUUUUUUUCAGUAUUUUGUGAAUGAAAAUUUAAUGCCAAUGAAGUGAGUGAAAACAUGAAGAAACAGACUUUGGACACAGGCUCUUCUUUCAGGAAGCUUGGCUGAGAAGAAAGGAGAAGGAGAGAGGAAUAGCUGGAUGGGUAAAGCAGGAUCAAGCUCUACCACGUGAGUGAAUCUGCUAGGUGCCUACGUGCUCAGGUGACAAGAACCCACUGAACAAGCCUGAGAUGGAUUUUCCCUAGUAUCCUUCCAUUCGAGGCUUUGAGGCUAUUCAGAAGGUUGUGGACAUCUCACUGAGCCUAAGAUAGGGCUUUACAAGCCUUGGGAAAAUGCCAGGGAAGCAUGAGUGGCAGCUGCCUAAAGGGUGAAGAAGCUGGAGAGGGAAGAAGUAUUGCCUUGUUGCUCCAGGCUCUGAAUCUCACAGUGAUGCCAGAGGUGUUCUUCUCCUAAUGACUGCGCUUCCUGGGUUCCUGAGACAAUCCUGAACAAGAAACGUGUAUGACUCCGGCAGGACUGUGAAAAAUGGCUGAAGUUCCUCUUCCUGAAUCUGAAAUUCAUGACUAGAAACAGUAUCAACAAGAUGCUGUACCUCUUUAGGCAGGAAUGGGCUUCAAUGCCCUCACCGUGGAUGAGUGAAGAGCAAAAUCUGCCAUGACUACAGGGAAGCUUGUUGGAUUUCUGGCUCCUCCUUUACCAGCAGUUUCAGGUCUGUUUGCUCGUCUCUCUUUGCCUGUUCUUUUUCUUUUCUUUCUUUCUUUCUUUCUUUUUUUUUUAAAGAUUAGUACCUGACCU